AUUCCCGCAUUUGGAGGCAUUGCCUGCCCAGUGACAACUGUUUAACGGCCGCGGUAUCCUGACCGUGCAAAGGUAGCAUAAUCAUUUGUUCUCUAAAUAAGGACUUGUAUGAAUGGCCGCACGAGGGUUUUACUGUCUCUUACUUCCAAUCAGUGAAAUUGACCUUCCCGUGAAGAGGCGGGAAUGCACAAAUAAGACGAGAAGACCCUAUGGAGCUUUAACUAACCAACCCAAAGAGAAUAGAUUUAACCAUUAAGGAAUAACAACAAUCUCCAUGAGUUGGUAGUUUCGGUUGGGGUGACCUCGGAGAAUAAAAAAUCCUCCGAGCGAUUUUAAAGACUAGACCCACAAGUCAAAUCACUCUAUCGCUCAUUGAUCCAAAAACUUGAUCAACGGAACAAGUUACCCUAGGGAUAACAGCGCAAUCCUAUUCAAGAGUCCAUAUCGACAAUAGGGUUUACGACCUCGAUGUUGGAUCAGGACAUCCUGAUGGUGCAACCGCUAUCAAAGGUUCGUUUGUUCAACGAUUAAAGUCCUACGUGAUCUGAGUUCAGACCGGA
rnacentral:rRNA from 1 species